rnacentral:rRNA from 1 species
GACGAGCGCUGGCGGCGUGCCUAAUACAUGCAAGUAGAACGCUGAAGGAGGAGCCUGCUUCUCUGGAUGAGUUGCGAACGGGUGAGUAACGCGUAGGUAACCUGCCUGGUAGCGGGGGAUAACUAUUGGAAACGAUAGCUAAUACCGCAUAAUAGCAGUUGUUGCAUGACAACUGUUUGAAAGGUGCAAUUGCACCACUACCAGAUGGACCUGCGUUGUAUUAGCUAGUUGGUGGGGUAACGGCUCACCAAGGCGACGAUACAUAGCCGACCUGAGAGGGUGAUCGGCCACACUGGGACUGAGACACGGCCCAGACUCCUACGGGAGGCAGCAGUAGGGAAUCUUCGGCAAUGGACGGAAGUCUGACCGAGCAACGCCGCGUGAGUGAAGAAGGUUGUCGGAUCGUAAAGCUCUGUUGUAAGAGAAGAACGAGUGUGAGAGUGGAAAGUUCACACUGUGACGGUAUCUUACCAGAAAGGGACGGCUAACUACGUG